AGCUUACAAAUACUGUAAGAUAGAAAAUGAUUUGAUAUUGAUAAAAGCCUUAACUUGGAAGUUAGUGGAAGUGGAAUCUGUAUUUUUGAUUUUGCGGUUUUGUAGUAAGCAUGAAUAAUUAAUUCAGUUAACAUGAUUUAAGUUGGAUUAAUAUAUAUGUGUAUAUAUGUGUAUAUAUAUACAUAGUAUUUCUCACACUUUUUUAUUUGAUACAGAAAACACUAACGAAAAACAGCUUGUGUGAUAUUAUCUGUGCAUUCGAAACUCAAAAAGCACUGGAAGAAGUUUUUUUUUUUUAAAAAAAAGAACAGCAUUAUUCGCAUUGACAAUCCUUUGACAGUCCUCUCAUAUCCAAAGUAAUGAACAAUAAUCAUUGUUUUCAUAUAAGUAUCCUGUCAAGAAUCACAUUGAAAUCAAGCUUUUCUCGAUGUCCUAAGAGAAAAUGCCUUAUUGUGAAGCCACCUUCCAUUGUCUUUGCCACGUACAUUGACUGGCCUUGAACUAUUUAUUGUAUCAUCAACCAAAUCCGAAUAGACUUUGCACGGGGAAGCACUUUGGACCUUCGGGAUCCUUCAUUAUUUGUUUAUCAGCUUUAUUCAAUUUACUUCUGGCAAGAAACAAGGUUCCCACCAAAUUCCACAGAGCUCUCCCUCACUUCCCUCAUUCCGUCGGAUUUCUCUCUCUCACUUCCCAGAAAAGAUGGGCUAUAUUUCAGUAAGUUUUUUUCUCAGUCUCAAUUUUUAUUCUCCACUUCAUUAAACUGUGAAAUGCUGUAUCUCAGCAACCAAAGUUUGGAGCAGUUCUGUAUGUUUUCAGGGUUACUGGAAUCUUGUUGGGACAUGAUUUCAUAUAAGGAAUAUGAAGCUGUUUCAUAAAGUUUAUGACCUGGCUUAGACUUAUCGCUGACCCGCUGAUAACAAAUAACAGGUCAACGUCCGAUAAUGCCAUGGCAGCGAAGAUUGUUGUGUUGAUUCUGGGUGUUUUUCAACUUUGGCUCUGGUAAUUUUCUCUUUUUCGAGAGUAACAGAGAGCGUAAUCCUUGGUUAAUGAGACUUUCAGUCACAAACAUCCUGACACUGAAUGGCAAAAAGCUGCCACGGUCUCUGUCUCCAUACAACUAGUGCUCUAUAUGAUGCAGCAAGACAAAAGGAAGAAGAAAAAAAACUUGUUAUAUUAAACAGACAGUGGUUGAAAUGUGUUUGUGUUGCUUUAAAUUUGAUAAAAAUCUUUUUACAUAAGACCAUUGUAACAUAGUUUUUAGGCAAAAUGUAUAAUCCCGCACCAUCAAAGCAAAACACAGUAAUGGUGAAACUUUGCUCUCCUCGAGACUCUUUUGGCAACACAGAUGAGAAGUGAGUUAUAUGUAUCAAAUUCCCACCAUCCACGCUGUUCACAUCCUCUCCGCUGACAUUAGCAACCCUAAGGGCUCAGUUGCCAAGCAGGUCACAGUGUGCUUCAAAUCACUCCCAGACGCCUCUUUCUCACAGACGCAGAUGAAAAACAGAAGGGGCCCCCUCCACUUCCCAGAGAACCCAAUAUUAGUAUGAUGGUGAAGUAAGCCUCCUUGUUCCUUACAGCGGAGAUGGAAAUUGAUUUAUUGGCAUAAGCAGCAGCAUGAGGUUAACAUGUUAAACCAAUGAAAACAAACAUGAAUUCCAUUAUGAACUGCUUCAAUGUAUAGUGGUAAAAUAAUAAUGUACAGACACUUCCUUUUCUGAUCUACACAAGUGUGCAAAACACUCCAGCUAAUGAAGUGCAAGUCAUAAUACACACAGCACUCACACACAUGCUAACACACAUUCAAACACACCUCAGGUUUACAUGUAUUCACAUGUCAAAAAGCAUAAGGCAGUAUAGUUGUUUGGUAGCUGAAUAUUAUUUCCACGUAAGAUGAAUAGUUUAAAUAGUUUGGGAAAAUGCAAUUUUUCAUUUUUCUGCUGAGAGUUAGGUGAGAAAAUAGAUAUGUCACUCAUGUCUGUCUAUUAAUGUGAAGCUACAGCUAGCAGAUGUUAGCUUAGCUUAGCAUUACGCUGUUAAAGAGGGUGAAGAUGCUAACUUGGCUCCGCUGAAGGUAAAAAAAAGUCUGCCUGCUAACACCUCUAAAGCUCAUCAAUUAAUAUGCUUAAUCUCGUUUUUCUGGGUAGCUACAAGCAACAGUUAGUUAGCUUAGCACAGCAUAAAGACUGGAAAAGUCUCACAGCAGUAUGUAAGGCAGGCUAAUGAAAAUGUUUAUAAUAUUUUGGGAUGUUGAUGGUUAGCUAGCCUAAAACCAGCAGCUGGUUAGCUUGGCAUAGCAGAAAGACUAACAACAAGGAGAAGCAGCUAGCUUGGCUCCACUGGAGAUAACAAAACCACCUGCAAGCACCGCCUGGUUAGCUUAGCAUAGCAUAAAGACUGGAAACAAGGGGGGAAACGGCCAGCUUGGCUCUGUUGGAGGGUAACAGAAUUUGCUUUAGCAACUCACCAGCUCAGUUUGUGGUUUUUGUUGGUUAGCUGCUUAAUGUAUAGAAUUUUUCCAGAACCUGUUAGCUACUAGCUGUAGCUAACCACAGCUACUAACCACUAAAAUAUACAAAUUGCCAUUUAUUUUGGUUUUUCGUAAGCUUUAAACAAACAAAACAUGAUGCUAAUUAGUCAGUUUUAGAAGUGCUGGCAGAUUUUGUCACUUUCAGACAAAGCCUGGCUAGUUGUUUCCCCUGUCCUAGCCUUUAUGUUAAUCUACACUAACCAUCGUGUGGUAUUAGUGUUCUCAUCUAACUCUUAGCAAGAAAACAAUUAAGCAUAUUUUCCAAAAUAUCAAACUAUGAAUAUUUUCGGAGUGUACUACCACCAUUAA